AUCACCGGGGGAUCUUGUUGAAAUGCAGAUUCUGAUUCAGUAAGUCUGGGGCAGAGCACGAGCUUCUGCAUUUCUAACAAGCUCCUGGGUGAUGCCAG
rnacentral:pre_miRNA from 1 species